UAUAUCGAGCCAUUAAAGAAUCAUGCCGAUUAUAAAUCAUAUUAACGCGAGAGCUUUCGUGUCUCCAUAAACCAGCUAUAGGUACUACUUCUUCCAUUACGCCGACAAACUCUUUGCGAUAGAUCGCUCGUUUUGUUAAACAAGACGGAAACGAAUCGACCCGAACGUGAGAGCGAGAGGAAAAGAGAUAUGUGGGUGUUAAAAUAAACGAUUUCCUGACCGGGAAAAGUGAAGCUCGUUGAAGCGUUUCAGCGAAUUCGCUUCGAACUGAACGCAAUACUAUGGUUUGCCGUUAAUUAAAAUUUCACGGUUUACACGAUGACCCCGGUAUAAACGAGCGAACGAUCUUUAUCGUAUUAAAAAGAAAACUGACAAUGAGUUUUAACGUUCCAAUGUACGUUUCGGAUCUCUCAGCGAGAACGUCUCUUUCAUUGGCAAACGAUACCACGUCGAUGUAGACGCGUCGUUAUUUUGGCGUAAAUGAAUUCCAAUUACGCGUUACACCUUCGGGCGAUUAGCUCUGGCAUAAUUACAUAGGCGUAUCUCGUCGCGCGACGAUUAACUCGAUAAAGUGGUCGCGCGCGUGUACGAGAAAGAGAGAGGGAGCGAGAAAGAGAAAGAGAGACAGAGGAGAGUGAGUAAGUGAGAGAGAAAGAGGGAGAAAGAUAGCGUCGCUAGCCAGAAGGCGAGACGGGAAGGAUGACGUGGACGAGAAAAGUAGCUUGGCUAAGAGAAAGUUACAAAGGAAUUAUGCGUUUCUUUAUCUUUUGCAAAGAGAGCAAUAGGGAGAGAGUACGAGAGAGGAGUGUACGCCUCUUCCCAUUCUCCAUUCUAAAAGCGUCAGGUUGUAAGACAAUGGCCGCCGUUAAUGAUCCAUGGAUGGUGUGUAUCUGGCUAACGUGUUAUUUCGGCCGUGCGUGUUACGAUGCUAUUAUAAAAGCUUAUUAAGACGAACGGUAAUUAUUACUCGCCACGUCGAAUAUUCGUGUGCUCAGAAAGUCGAGAAAUUAAUAAUUAUCGAUGGAUCGGCCCACGGUGUCUGUAGAUACAAGACAUCAAGAUAACGCGUAUAGGAUACGCGCAUCAAUUAUGGAGAAUGUAUCGAAGAGCUCGAUUCGACCAAGUCGCCCUCAACGAGGAAACAUUCGUCGUAAGUGCAAAUUACGUGCCACAUACCGACUACUUACUUAUGCAUACGGAUUAUAUUGCAAAAGAAUUAGUUUUCGCAACGAUUCCUCUAGCGCCGGACGAUUUGUAUGAGCUACGUCGAGACUACAGAAUGAGAAAGAGAAAUAUCGAGAGAGUUCUUUUGUACGGAGCCACGAAGGAGAUUUCGAAAGACACGUUCCCGACGUAUUGAUCGAACGAAAGAGAUACGUCUUAUUUGCGUAAUAAAUUCUGCAGCGUCACAGAGCAAAAUUACCAGAGCCUUCGUGGUAGUUCAACGAGAAAGAAAAUCGAAGGAGAUGCCAGUCGGGUGUGCAUGUUGCUGCCGCCUUUGAACGAUACCCGCCCGUUCUCUUCGAGUAAUUUAAAACUUCUAAGGCACCGUUACCGACGACGACGACGACGACGACGACGACGACGACGAUCACGACGAGAAGAUAUCGCGUUUGCACCUGCUACAACGAUGCCGCCCCCUCGUUGCGGUAUAAAUGUGUCGGACGAGAAAAUAUCUUGCGUGCUUUUUAUAUCGGAAAAGUCGUGGGCUCGAACCCCUCGAGAAAGAGAGGGGAUGCAAGCUAUAAAAUAUUUAUAGUUAUUCUAGAAGGCCAUGGCAAUGGUGCACUGGUGCAUCUUAUGUAGCGCUACUGGUUCCAAUAGGAUAAUAACUUUCUUGCGAACCUUUGAAAGUAACUUUUCUUAACGUAGAAAGCAUAAUGAAAAUUUACUCUCUUCUAUUUAAUCCGACAUACUUUUAUUUUUCCUUUUAUUUGCGAAGUGAAUAAAUGAAACGAAAAUGAAAAAUAUCGUCGAGCGUAUCAGCUGCGAGAUUAAAUUUGAGAUAAUAAAUGAGUAAGAAUAUAUACCUAGGUAACUUUUAUUUGAUCGACUCGUAAAAUAUGAAGUCAACAUUUGAAAAAUAACAUCCGAUCUCUCUCUCUCUCUCUCUCUCUCUCUCUCUCUCUGUCUUUCUCAUUUUCUCUCGUUUCUCCCCUUUCACAUGCGAGAUGAAAAUAUCUCCAGUAAUAAUAUCUCCGGGUGUAAUACCUCGCAUAGAGGAGAAUCGGAGUUAAAUUACCGAGGAUGAUCGGAGAAGGUGGGAGAAGCGGAACGAAGAGGUACAUUGAUUGGAAAAGGAAGAAAUGGCGGUUCGGAACGGCCUUGGUGUAAGAAAGGUAGAGGUCGAUGAAUUGCUUUUCGAGCGCGAAUACAAGUAAAGCCCCUUCAUUCGCGAAAAUAUCGCGAAAAUUAUUUUUCGAGGUUACUUCGAGCAAGACCAAAAUAGAGCGAUAAAAGAAAAAGAGAAUAUAAUUUAGGAUCGAGAUAAGCGAAAAUAUUGUUUUCGUGAAUACGUAAUAAGUUGGCAAGGAGAAAGAAAAUGCAUGCUCGAAAAGCCGAGUAAAAAGAGAGCGUUACGUGAAGUGUAACGGAGAUAACGUUUGUCAAUAGUAAAUUACAAUGACGUAGUGUAAGCGUGACUUUCUCUCUCUCUCUACCUUGCUUGUUGCUCAUUAACGCUGACCAUUGUUAACUUCGUAGGAAACAGAUACUUUAGAUAUAGUAGUGUCAAGUUAAAUCAAUAAUGCGAUCUGCUGGAGAUAUGAGCGGCUUUAGAAUGUUCUACGAAACAAUGGUGGUCAGACGUUGAAGAGCGUCGUAAUACGAUAUCACGGAGGUGGAUCAUAGAUAUUCACAAAUUCGAAGUUAAUUAGUGAAUUAGUCGUUCUUAAAGUUGGAAAAUUGCUGGAUAGAGGGAGUAAGAAAGAUCGCUUUUAUUUCCUCAUAAAUGCAGACGUUAAAGCUCUUAAUGAGAAGACCAUAUGCCUAUACAUAAACAUAACAUUACGACGACCACAAAAUCUUAACCGGAUAGUAGUCCUCCGGAUAGUAUGCCGUAUGUACAUACAUUGCUAAGCCGGUAAGUGCGAAGUUAGAUGUUAUUUACGACGUCAGUUCAAGCGCUUUAUAGUUUAUUUUAUUUACGAACGAGAAAGUAAUAUCUUUCGAGAAUGAUUUUAGCGCGCGGAGAAAUUAGCGCAUAGUGAAUUAUCCUGGGGGAAUCGUAUAAACGUUAAAAUAUGUUUAAAACACGCGUAAAUCUGUCGAAGGUACGUUUAGGUGUGCUGGAUCAUUGUCUAAGACCAUAAUUACUACUACUUUCACCUACAUAAAAGGGUAAAGAGAAAGACGGAGAAAUAUCGAUAAGGAAUAAAUCAAGUCACUAGGCCGAUUGUCCUUUCCUCGAUAAAGUUUUAAGGUUCUCUGAUAUCCAGUUUGGAGAAGAUAAAAGAUCGAUAAACAUCGACCGAUCAAGAUUUAUUAAACGAAAUUAGGUGGAAACUUUUAAUCGAUUAUUUCCCUCUUCCAGUUGUCUCGAAACUAUCGCGUAUCUCUCGAGAAUCAUGAACGAUCUCUUUAUAUUUCUUUCGACAACUAAAACUCGACCAUCUGAUCCUCUCUCGUAGAAGAUUCUCGUAGAAGAAAAUAAUAAGGUCUCAGAUUU